rnacentral:lncRNA from 1 species
GGGGACCCAGAUGAAUUUAGCGGUUACGGGUUUUCCACGACCACGCUCGCUUCCAAGCACAUAAACUCGUAGGAAAUAAGAAAACAUGGUUGGAAACAGAAAACAAUCCAGAAGAAGAGCUACAGGGGUUGUCCGUAGACGUUGCUAUGCUAAGUGGAUGUUCUCAUAUAAUACACCGUACUACUCAGGUAGGUUUCUGUCUCCGCAGCCCGUGCUGCUUAGGCGAAACAACAGCCUGUCCGCGGAAUUCUGCCUGCCCAGGACAGGGUCCGUGGACUGUUUCUUAUACAAGCGCCUUGCCUCCAGCUAGCUACCCAACAGUGUAGAGACCACCCUGGUCUCCCCGCAGGGUCCUGCGGCUCACAGCCAGCCAAUCGUUCACUUUUGAGUCUGAAGCUAGAGUGAUGACCAGACGUGAAUGCUUCCUGUGCUGACGGGAGGAACAAGCUCGCCUAGCCAAAAUAUCUUUUGUCUUUGAGGCUAUGGGCCUGCAAAGAGCCACUAGGUUUUAUUGGAGAGGCCAAAGUCUUGGCCUUGGCUUGCUCCCCGCAAGCCAGGGCGCCACAGAUCAGCGGAUCGGGUCCUCUGCGAAGACGUGGAGGUCCCCCGGGUCUCUUUGUAAAUGAGUCCAGAGACUAAAGUCAGAAUGGCAGCUUAUUCUUAUAUACCUGAAUUGUGGACCCAUGCUUUUUGAAACAAAAAGAGUGUUUCAAGUGUUUUGUUUUAAUUAAAAAUUACUUUCUCCUAA